UACGUAGGGGGCAAGCGUUGUCCGGAUUCAUUGGGCGUAAAGAGCGUGUAGGCGGCCAGGUAGGUCGGUUGUGAAAACUGGAGGCUCAACCUUCAGAGGUCGACCGAAACCAUCUGGCUAGAGUCCGGGAGAGGAGAGUGGAAUUCCUGGUGUAGCGGUGAAAUGCGCAGAUAUCAGGAGGAACACCAAUUGCGAAGGCAGCUCGCUGGGACGUCACUGACGCUGAGACGCGAAAGCGUGGGGAGCAAACAGG
rnacentral:rRNA from 1 species